GCCAGCAUGAUGUAGUGGUUUUAGCAUUAGACUAGGACUCUGGAGACCAGGGUCCAAAUCCCUGCUCAGCCA